rnacentral:rRNA from 1 species
GAUGAACGCUAGCUACAGGCUUAACACAUGCAAGUCGAGGGGAAACGGCAUUAAGUGCUUGCACUUUUUGGACGUCGACCGGCGCACGGGAGAGUAACGCGUAUCCAACCUUCCCAUGACUAAGGGAUAACCUGCCGAAAGGCAGACUAAUACCUUAUGGUCUUCACUGACGGCAUCAGAUGUGGAGUAAAGAUUUAUCGGUUAUGGAUGGGGAUGCGUCUGAUUAGCUUGUUGGCGGGGUAACGGCCCACCAAGGCAACGAUCAGUAGGGGUUCUGAGAGGAAGGUCCCCCACAUUGGAGCUGAGACACGGUCCAAACUCCUACGGGAGGCAGCAGUGAGGAAUAUUGGUCGAUGGGCGAGAGCCUGAACCAGCCAAGUAGCGUGCAGGAUGACGGCCCUAUGGGUUGUAAGCUGCUUUUGUAUGGGGAUAAAGUCAAUCACGUGUGAUUGUUUGCAGGUACCAUACGAAUAAGGACCGGCUAAUUCCGUG